CGGGUUCUGACCUUUGCGUGCAUGGUUGCAUUCCGGUGGCCUUAAGCAAUUCCGAGGGAGUUGGCUCUGUCCGGGCCCUGGUCCGGUUACCUGACGCCCACCUGUAUAUACAGGUCCUCGGGAAUGAGAUAACCCCACGGAAGGACCGGUUCCCGC
rnacentral:misc_RNA from 1 species